UACAGAGGUCUCAAGCGUUGUUCGGAUUCAUUGGGCGUAAAGGGUGCGUAGGCGGCGCGGUAAGUCGGAUGUGAAAUCCCGGGGCUCAACCCCGGAACUGCAUUGGAUACUGCCUUGCUAGAGUACUGGAGAGGGAACUGGAAUUUACGGUGUAGCAGUGAAAUGCGUAGAGAUCGUAAGGAAGGCCAGUGGCGAAGGCGAGUUCCUGGACAGUGACUGACGCUGAGGCACGAAGGCCAGGGGAGCAAACAGG
rnacentral:rRNA from 1 species